CCAUGCUGGCUAUGUUGAGCACAAAAUCUGCAAGGUGAGCAGCUAUGUAACGAUGAUGGCGUUGGAACUGCAGUUGUGGACUCCACUGAUCUGGACAGCUUGAGGAUAGAAAUGACUCAACAGUCAGAGGUGUAAGAUCCUCAUACUAGUUGAAUCCCAGGUUUGGAUCUGUGCUUGACUGCCACGUCUAGAGCUGGGACUUACAGCUCCUCAGGUUGUAUGGCUCUCACAUUCAGACUUAACUGCUGGAUCCUGAUCUGGGGUUUGCAGCUCCCACAAUCCAUGCUUGGCUAUUAGAUCCAAGUUCUGCAUAUCCAGAUCCUUUGGAAACUGGAGCCAAAGGCCAAUGAGUCAGUUUAAGCACAUAUAUACAUCCCUCCUACAUCAACCUGGACAGACCCAGAGACCUUGACAGUGAACAGCUUGAGAAGCCUCCCCCAUUGACAGGGAUGUGUAAGGUAGCCAAACCCGUUCCUGCAGAACAACUUUUGAAGGAGAUGUUGGGCUUAUUCAGUGCCAGCUUAGGCAACUGGGCCCAAGGACCCUUCCCUGUCAGUUAGGCUUUAUGAGGAGGUGGUCCUACUUCUACAGAGCCAUACAAAGCCCAGGCUAUCUCCUCUUUUCCUUUGAAAGGAAAAACCCAACUGCUACCUUCAGUUAUGACAAGGAACUGAAGGCUGGUGGGGUCACUCUCCCCUCCUUUUUAUAUUUGCAACAUCCUCUAAGAUGGAAUGGGAAUGGAUGAGCGAGUGACACUGCUUUCCAGAAGGUUCCGGAAGCUUGCAGCACAGACACCUUGGAUCCCACAAGUGGGAAUAUGAAGAGGUUCCUCGAAGAAUCCAAAGUUCCUGCAGCUGCCAGGCCACAUACCAUGGUUUACGCUACUAGUUGCUGCACUUCAGAGCUUCUGACAAACUGCUGCACUGUAUUUCAUAAGCAGAAUAUCGUGGUUUGAGUGAAACAAGAUAAAGCCAUUAGACACAUCAGAAUCGUAAACAACAUCUCUUGAAAGUUCCUGCUGCCACUAGAAAGAUCUUUUAGUUCAGCUACAAAGCCUUGGGGAGAUGAUGAAAUAAGAAGCAAGAGUUCCUUUA